rnacentral:rRNA from 1 species
UACGAAGGGUGCAAGCGUUAUUCGGAAUUACUGGGCGUAAAGGGUGCGUAGGCGGUUCGUUAAGUCUGUCGUGAAAUCCCCGGGCUCAACCUGGGAAUGGCAAUGGAUACUGGCAGGCUAGAGUGUGUCAGAGGAUGGUGGAAUUCCCGGUGUAGCGGUGAAAUGCGUAGAGAUCGGGAGGAACAUCAGUGGCGAAGGCGGCCAUCUGGGACAACACUGACGCUGAAGCACGAAAGCGUGGGGAGCAAACAGG